AACUUUUACAAUGCGGGAAACCGUGAUAAGGGAAUCUCGAGUGCCAGCAUAUAAUGUUGGCUGUCCAGAUGCCUAAAAAGCAUCUGUUAGCAAGGCCGGGCAAGACCGGUGCCAGCCGCCGCAGUAACACCGGCGGCCCGAGUGGUAACCGCUAUUAUUGGGUCUAAAGGGUCUGUAGCCGGCCAGGUAAGUCCCUUGGGAAAUCUGGCAGCUCAACUGUCAGGCUGCUAGGGGAUACUGUUUGGCUUGGGACCGGGAGAGGUGAGAGGUACCUUGGGGGUAGGGGUGAAAUCUUGUAAUCCUCGGGGGACCACCAGUGGCGAAGGCGUCUCACCAGAACGGGUCCGACGGUAAGGGACGAAAGCUAGGGGCACGGACCGGAUUAGAUACCCGGGUAG
rnacentral:rRNA from 1 species